rnacentral:rRNA from 1 species
CACUCUACGGGAGGCAGCAGUGGGGAAUAUUGCACAAUGGGCGCAAGCCUGAUGCAGCCAUGCCGCGUGUAUGAAGAAGGCCUUCGGGUUGUAAAGUACUUUCAGCAGUGAGGAAGGUGGAUAUGUUAAUAGCAUAUUCAUUUGACGUUAGCUGCAGAAGAAGCACCGGCUAACUCCGUGCCAGCAGCCGCGGUAAUACGGAGGGUGCGAGCGUUAAUCGGAAUUACUGGGCGUAAAGCGCAUGCAGGUGGUUUGUUAAGUCAGAUGUGAAAGCCCGGGGCUCAACCUCGGAAUUGCAUUUGAAACUGGCAAACUAGAGUACUGUAGAGGGGGUAGAAUUUCAGGUGUAGCGGUGAAAUGCGUAGAGAUCUGAAGGAAUACCGGUGGCGAAGGCGGCCCCCUGGACAGAUACUGACACUCAGAUGCGAAAGCGUGGGGAGCAAACAGGAUUAGAUACCCUGGUAG